GACGAACGCUGGCGGCGUGCCUAAUACAUGCAAGUAGAACGCUGAAGAGAGGAGCUUGCUCUUCUUGGAUGAGUUGCGAACGGGUGAGUAACGCGUAGGUAACCUGCCUGGUAGCGGGGGAUAACUAUUGGAAACGAUAGCUAAUACCGCAUAAAAUUGAUUAUUGCAUGAUAAUUAAUUGAAAGAUGCAACUGCAUCACUACCAGAUGGACCUGCGUUGUAUUAGCUAGUUGGUGAGGUAACGGCUCACCAAGGCGACGAUACAUAGCCGACCUGAGAGGGUGAUCGGCCACACUGGGACUGAGACACGGCCCAGACUCCUACGGGAGGCAGCAGUAGGGAAUCUUCGGCAAUGGGGGGAACCCUGACCGAGCAACGCCGCGUGAGUGAAGAAGGUUUUCGGAUCGUAAAGCUCUGUUGUAAGAGAAGAACGGGUGUGAGAGUGGAAAGUUCACACUGUGACGGUACCUUACCAGAAAGAGACGGCUAACUACGUG
rnacentral:rRNA from 1 species